AACUAUGAUGUCAUGGCCUGUGGAGUUUAUGAAUUAGUCAUUUGAAGGUCAAGUCAAUGAAAUCGUAUGGAGUCUUAUAGGGUUUGAGUAGAAAACUCAAAUGAAAAUGAAAAUGUAUGUUAUAUUACUGCUCUUUAAUUUGAUGGCUUAUUUUUUGACAAUACUGUAUGUAAGACAUCUAAUUUAUUUGAUGAAGUCAAAAGAACCUUUUGUUUAUCUUUGUUUAGGGUAAAUAGAUUAAUGAGGCCUUUUUUGAGUGUUAACUGCUCCACUUCAUGUUAAAUGCAUUUUCCUUCUUCAUAUUCAUAGAUUAAUGCGACUGGAAACUGCAUGAUAUAUACUGUUUUCAAGCUGUUAUUUACUUUCUGUCUGGUUUUGGAGGUAUAGAGUUGAGUUGCUUCUGAUCGGUGGUGUACUUAUCAUUGUGUUUCUGCAUAUCUGUUUUCGAGUCUUGGUCUCUUUGUGUCCGGUAAGAAUUUGGAGGAUUUUUCACUUGCAAUUCAACAAUAAGGGCUCUCUCAGGAAUAUAGAUAAGCAAAUGAGAGAAUAUGUUAAUUAGUUUAUCUGUUUCACCUGAGUUUUGAACCAAUUCUCCGACCAAUCAAAACUAAUUGUAGUACUGGUUUUUUUUGUUAUUACCUUUUCUACCGCUUCCUCUGCCAUAUCUUAUAGUCGCAUGUCUUAGUGUACCACCAGUAGGGAAACCAAUUGCACGUCAUAGUGAUUGGCUAUGAUCAUAAUUUAUUUUGAACAAUGAAGGGCUUCAACAGGUAAUUCUUUAUAUUGAUUCAUAACUCUUCAUUUAUUUAGUGUGUGUUUUAAGAAAAGAAAAAUUAUGUGCACAUCUAAACCCUAUCUAAAUCCCUUCAGAAGGUCACCAAAGAUGAUGAAAAACAAGUGCCCCAAAGCGGCCCUAGAAGAUCAGGAGAUUGCAGCUAUGAAAGUUAAUAUUCCAGAUAUAUGUUCUGUUACAAUUUGGCACCACAUAUGAGAUCAAUGAAAUUUAUGGGAUACCAAGGUUCUUGCCGCAGUUUAUGGACCCAAAGCAGGGACAAAGAAGAAUGAAAACCCUGAAAAGACUUGCAUUGAGUUUAUUUGGAAGACUAAAACAGGCCCCAGUGGAAAAACAGAAAGAGAAUGUUAGAUGAUAUUGAGAAGGACCUUGCAAAGCAUCUGUAUACUGACUCUCAAUCCAAACACUACGACCUCAGUUAUUAUCCAGGUGCGGUGGUCUUAUAUCAUGCAAAAUAAUUUAUCCCUUUGAAUCUUGAACAUUGUGAUUUCCACUUGAAGUGACUGUAACUGAGGACUUAUAGUGAAAAGUCCUUUUCCUUAACACAAAUGUUUUGUUCAUCUAAAUUAGUCCAUUCUUUUGAAAAUCAUUUUUAAAGAUUGUAACUUUGAUGGGGCAGCUGAUGGUAUAUAUGUUGUGAAUAUAUUUUCAAAAAAUAUAGGAAAAACACAAAAUAAUUUUCCUUCAUCAUCUUGGGCUACUGUAGUUUCUCCAACCCAUAAGAUUA